AGGUAAGCUACUAAGAGCGAAUGGUGGAUGCCUUGACUGGUAAAGGCGAUGAAGGACGUACUAGACUGCGAUAAGCUACGGGGAGCUGUCAAGAAGCUUUGAUCCGUAGAUUUCCGAAUGGGGCAACCCAAUGUAUAGAGAUAUACAUUACCUAUAUAGGAGCGAACGAGGGGAAUUGAAACAUCUUAGUACCCUCAGGAAAAGAAAUCAAUAGAGAUUGCGUCAGUAGCGGCGAGCGAAAGCGCAAGAGGGCAAACCCAGUGCUUGCACUGGGGGUUGUAGGACUGCAAUGUGCAAGAGGUAAGUUUAGCAGAACAUUCUGGAAAGUAUAACCAUAGAGGGUGAUAGUCCCGUAUGCGAAAAACAAACCUUAGCUAGCAGUAUCCUGAGUAGGGCGGGACACGAGGAAUCCUGUCUGAAUCCGGGUCGACCACGAUCCAACCCUAAAUACUAAUACCAGAUCGAUAGUGCACAAGUACCGUGAGGGAAAGGUGAAAAGAACUGAGGUGAUCAGAGUGAAAUAGAACCUGAAACCAUUUGCUUACAAUCAUUCAGAGCCCUAUGUAGCAAUACAGGGUGAUGGACUGCCUUUUGCAUAAUGAGCCUGCGAGUUGUGGUGUCUGGCAAGGUUAAGCAAACGCGAAGCCGUAGCGAAAGCGAGUCUGAAUAGGGCGCUUAGUCAGAUGCUGCAGACCCGAAACGAAGUGAUCUAUCCAUGAGCAAGUUGAAGCUAGUGUAAGAACUAGUGGAGGACUGAACCCAUAGGCGUUGAAAAGCCCCGGGAUGACUUGUGGAUAGGGGUGAAAGGCCAAUCAAACUUCGUGAUAGCUGGUUCUCUCCGAAAUAUAUUUAGGUAUAGCGUUGUGUCGUAAUAUAAGGGGGUAGAGCACUGAAUGGGCUAGGGCAUACACCAAUGUACCAAACCCUAUCAAACUCCGAAUACCUUAUAUGUAAUCACAGCAGUCAGGCGGCGAGUGAUAAAAUCCGUCGUCAAGAGGGAAACAACCCAGACUACCAGCUAAGGUCCCUAAAUCUUACUUAAGUGGAAAACGAUGUGAAGUUACUUAAACAACCAGGAGGUUGGCUUAGAAGCAGCCAUCCUUUAAAGAAAGCGUAAUAGCUCACUGGUCUAGUGAUUUUGCGCGGAAAAUAUAACGGGGCUAAAGUAAGUACCGAAGCUGUAGACUUAGUUUACUAAGUGGUAGGAGAGCGUUCUAUUUGCGUCGAAGGUAUACCGGUAAGGAGUGCUGGAGCGAAUAGAAGUGAGCAUGCAGGCAUGAGUAGCGAUAAUUAAUGUGAGAAUCAUUAACGCCGUAAACCCAAGGUUUCCUACGCGAUGCUCGUCAUCGUAGGGUUAGUCGGGUCCUAAGUCGAGUCCGAAAGGGGUAGACGAUGGCAAAUUGGUUAAUAUUCCAAUACCAACAUUAGUGUGCGAUGGAAGGACGCUUAGGGCUAAGGGGGCUAGCGGAUGGAAGUGCUAGUCUAAGGUCGUAGGAGGUUAUACAGGCAAAUCCGUAUAACAAUACUCCGAGAACUGAAAGGCUUUUUGAAGUCUUCGGAUGGAUAGAAGAACCCCUGAUGCCGUCGAGCCAAGAAAAGUUUCUAAGUUUAGCUAAUGUUGCCCGUACCGUAAACCGACACAGGUGGGUGGGAUGAGUAUUCUAAGGCGCGUGGAAGAACUCUCUUUAAGGAACUCUGCAAAAUAGCACCGUAUCUUCGGUAUAAGGUGUGGUUAGCUUUGUAUUAGGAUUUACUCCGAAAGCAAGGAAACUUACAACAAAGAGUCCCUCCCGACUGUUUACCAAAAACACAGCACUCUGCUAACUCGUAAGAGGAUGUAUAGGGUGUGACGCCUGCCCGGUGCUCGAAGGUUAAUUGAUGGGGUUAGCAUUAGCGAAGCUCUUGAUCGAAGCCCGAGUAAACGGCGGCCGUAACUAUAACGGUCCUAAGGUAGCGAAAUUCCUUGUCGGUUAAAUACCGACCUGCAUGAAUGGCGUAACGAGAUGGGAGCUGUCUCAAAGAGGGAUCCAGUGAAAUUGUAGUGGAGGUGAAAAUUCCUCCUACCCGCGGCAAGACGGAAAGACCCCGUGGACCU
rnacentral:rRNA from 1 species